UAAUUUUCAGACUGACCCGAUGAGUCCGCGCAAAAGCUGGCAAGCAUGCCUACUGUCCCGCUAUUUUCCCCACUGAUGUACAAAUACCUUUCCGCUAACAAGAUAAUGUGUUUAUUCAGAGGACAUCUGCAGGAAAAAGUGGAAGAGCCUCAGGGACACGUAUAGUAACAGCUGCCAUCUUGCAAAGAUACCGUCUGGCACAACUUCCUCCCACAUCCCGCCCACAUUUCCCGUUCACGCGCGUCAAAAUAUGCAAUUUUGACGCGCGAUGGAUUUCUGUUGGACACGCGUCGAGGUGCGAAUGUGCACGCGUCAAAUUAGGGGCGUUUGGGGCGUUUUCGCUCGCGCCUAUCGCGUUCGGUGUGAACACACCGUUACACUUGCAGAGUUAAGUCACUUUGCAGAGAUCCCUCCCACCCUGGCUUUUAUGUGCUAGAUUUCUUAUCUGAAACAGUAACAUUUCAGUGACUGCUGCUUAUACCACAGGUUAAUACACUCUACUGAUCCCUGAUGGGAGAAUCAUCACCUCUGCCAACAAAGAAGCCUGGUGGAUAUUUGUUUGCAGUCUGAUGAUGGGACAUCAUGCUCUGCAUCUUCAAAGUUUACCUCCUCAUUAUUAUUCAUACACAGUAAUGUGAAGCAUGCUUAUAUCUAGUAUAACUGGACCAACCUGGUGCUCUUCAUUUAUGGAGGCUGUUGAGUCUGAAUGUUGGAUGUUGUGUAUCUCUUGUUCUCUGGGCUUUGUUGUCCUCAGUCUUUUUGCAGGAUCAGAAAACAAAACCAGGAGACCUGUAAAUGUUUCUUCUCCAAUUGGAUGAUGAUAAGACUGUGACACGGUAUGCCACCUUUAGUCUUGUGAUGAAGCAAAGCUCAGGACGAAGUGUGAUUAAAUGGUACCCACAUGUGUGCUGCUGAGAAGGAUGUACAGGGGCACCUGCAGCCAAAUCCAAGCCUCCUCAGCAACUUCAAGUCUGUCAGCGUGCUGAGGUCACAGAAACAAGAAAAGCAGCUUGACUUCAGAGUGUUGUUUACAGUUUUCUGUCAUCAUGAUCUCCCCUGAAGUUUAUCACUAUUAGGCAAGCAAGCAGAGCAGCAGUUUGUGCUCACAGAUGGUGACGGUGUGGAGAGACGGUGGUGUUUCCUCAGAAGAACUAGCAGAGUCACCAAGGGCACGAGUCCAUCUCACCACCUUGACUUGCAGACUGAUGCUCGUCUGCACUGCACAGAGGAAAUCAACUGACCGAGGAGUGUUUCUGGGUGAGGGAGAGAGGAGUCAUCAUCCAGGUAAAGUGACGUGGAUCAGUGGACACACUUGUCUCCCCUUUAAAGGAGACACUCUUAGAGAGAGAUGAUCCGAGUCAUCACUAAAUAUGGGCAGGAUAUCAGUCUUGGACUGUCUAAUCUGCAGGAGCAGCAUUGAAUGAUCACCACACAUGAGCAGUUCCUGCAACAUUCAGCAGCUUUGCUUUUGUGUCAAAUGUCAAACAGCUGGAGAGGAAACUAAACCAGUACUGGGCUGUUUCACCAACAUGUGCCAGAUGCUGUUCCUUCAUGGUGACAUCACCAGAGACAGCCCCGCCCACCUCAGGACCUCGCCAUUGAUCAUGAUGAUUAUAAUCAGAACUAAGACUGUACAAAUCCACGACCAGAAUGUUUAGAUGCUUUCUAAUUAUUAAUGAAUACUGAGAGCCUCUUUCUGUGUUUUGUCUGUUUUGGGUUGUUUCUUUUACUUCAUUUAUUACUAACAAAGUUCACCAAACGCACACAGUUUACAUUCUGUAUGUUUCCAUCUUUACCAGCCACACUCUGCCUGCAUUUAGAAAACAAACCUUAGAAAUCGUCGUUUUUCUCUUUUUCUCUUUUGUAAUUUUGUAAUUCAGUGAAUAUACUGCACUUCUUCCUUUUAUUGCGUCACACAUUGCUUUAAGUUUUUCGGUGUCCAGUUAUUUUUUACUGCUGUUUGAAUUCUCUGUAUGUUUGACCCUGUAGACUGUUUAAUGGACUGCUUGUCUUCCUGUUUGUAACCACCGCCUGUUUUUGACUAAAGAUUUGGAUUUGUGACUUUAACACAGCCUCUGCGUGUCCUCCCUUUGUGUCCUCUUCCUCUGUGAAUGUGUUGCAUGUGUCACAGAUUCAUUUUAUUAACAGCUUUCCCACAGUGAGUUGCAUCAGCAUUCAUUCACUGCACAUUUCAGAAGGAUUCAGAUUAAUACAGUGAUCUUACAGUCAGAAUUAUCCUGACAGAGUGCCACUGUAAAUUAUCUUUCAUCAGGUCAAUUUUAAAGUUCAGUAUUUCAAAGCAGGCGUUAUGAAGAAUCAUACUGGCAUUAGGACUGUAACAAUAUGUAUUUACAAAGUCAAAGUUUUCUAACUAUGUUAGAAUAUUGGAAGACAAUCAACUUUUGGUGUUUUCUGCAUAUUAAUUAUACUGAAAUAGUGAUGGUGACCCUAACUGUACAGAAGCACUAAACAACUGACAAUCUAACAAACAUUAUUGGCCUGAGCCGUCAUGCACAGUGAGUCUGAUCCUGUGCUGUGAGAGUCUGACAAGCAUGUUUCUGGUCAGUUUGGAAGAAAUAACAUCACAAUGUUGAUCUUUUUUUCAAUAUUCCUUUUACAACAUAAACUGUGAUCAAAGCUACUUAUGUUCACAGCAGGUAAUAAUAGUGACAGUCCAGGGCAUUGUGGUCUGUUGAGCUAGGGUUAGGGUUAACAAUUCAGACAUAUGUAAUCAAUCUCUUGCUGGAUAUAACAAACACCUAGGAAUUCAUAUUAUAAUUUGAUUUUCAUGAAAUAUUCAUAUUCAGUAUCAGUCAUUUUUUAUUAUAAUCACGUAUCCACCCAGGCUCAUGGUGGAGCAGGGCUCUGUCCUGGGAUGCUUGAGUACAAGAUAAUGUACACCCUGACCAGGUAUCCAGUCUGUCAGAAUUGUUCUCAAUAUUUGGUUCAAAAUAUGAGUGAAAACAAAAAUCCAACUAGGAUUCUUGCAUAUGAUGAAUGAAGUCUGUCUUUGACUGUAUUGUCCAGCUGAUCCAUCAAACCCCCAGCAGGUAAACCUUAUCAUGACAUAACACAGUAACAAUGUAAAAAAUUAAACAGCAACAGUCUAAAUGUAAAGUGCAUUCUAAACUCCACUUCAAUAAAUUAUAUGGAUGUGCAGAGAGUCAUUCAGGACUGUAAAACGUGAACUACAGAACCCAGAGUCUUCACCAUUAAAUCUCUGGUUGCUUCAUUUUUCUAUCCUAUAUCAGAUACUUUAAAGGUUUUAGUAAAGUUGCAUUGUCAUGGUGAGGCAAAGUGUUUUAUGUGUGUGUCAUGAACGGCUGUAAAAGCCCUUUAAUUAAAGAACAAAGCGGGGUUUGAGUUCGAGUUACGGCAGACUGGCACUACUUCUAAACGGAACGCAGCCUUCCUACGGCGGACAGCUAAUAACAGGAAUCGGACGCGCGGUCCACCCUAGUCCACAGCAACCACCAUAGCAACAGCCUAGCAUGACUUUAAAAACAUAUUCUGUCUUCAUAACUAUCAAAAACGUGAAAUGAUUUGUAAAGCAUGAAAGUGUUACAGGCCUUAACCCAAAUUUCCCUUGGGGUCAACCUUCAGGAUCAAUAAAGUUUUAUUGAAUUGAAUUGAAUUGAAUCAUAUUAAAUAACAAACAAUAGCACGAUUUUGCAUCCAUUUCCAAAUUGUAGUCAAGCAGCCCAGUCUCAUAAAUAGGUAACUGAAAUGUCUCUAAUGUAGACGUGUACAGUCUAGUGUAAGCAUUAAAAGACCAUAAAGGAAACACUACUAUUUAUGUGAAACUAAUUGUAAUAAAAAA